rnacentral:rRNA from 1 species
AUCGAACGCUGGCGGCAUGCUUUACACAUGCAAGUCGGACGAGUGGCGAACGGGUGAGUAACGCAUCGGAAAGGACCGAGUAAUAGGGGAUCACUGUUCGAAAGGACAGCGAAUACCGCCAAUUAUACGAGUGGCCGAUGUCUGAUUGGCUGGUUGGCGGGGUAAAGGCCCACAAAGGCGACGAUCGGUAGCGGGUCUGAGAGGAUGAUCCGCCACACUGGGACUUAGAGACGGCCCCGACUCCUACGGGAGGCAGCAGUGGGGAAUUUUGGACAAUGGGCGCAAGCCUGAUCCAGCCAUGCCGCGUGUCUGAAGAAGGCCUUCGGGUUGUAAAGGACUUUUGUCAGGGAAGCGGUACCUGAAGAAUAAGCACCGGCUAACUACGUGCCAGCCGCCGCGGUAAUUC